ACUGACGCCAUCAAGCUAAACCCU
rnacentral:piRNA from 1 species